UUUAUGGAGAGUUUGAUCCUGGCUCAGUCUGAACUCCGGCGGCGUGCCUAAUACAUGCAAGUCGAGCGAACAGAUAAGGAGACGUUAGCGGACGGGUGAGUAACACGUGGGUAACCUACCUAUAAGACUGGAAUAACUCCGGGAAACCGGGGCUAAUGCCGGAUAACAUGUUGAACCGCAUGGUUCUACAGUGAAAGACGGUCUUGCUGUCACUUAUAGAUGGACCCGCGCCGUAUUAGCUAGUUGGUGGGGUAACGGCCUACCAAGGCGACGAUACGUAGCCGACCUGAGAGGGUGAUCGGCCACACUGGAACUGAGACACGGUCCAGACUCCUACGGGAGGCAGCAGGAAAUCUUCCGCAAUGGGCGAAAGCCUGACGGAGCAACGCCGCGUGAGUGAUGAAGGUCUUCGGAUCGUAAAGCUCUGUUGUUAGGGAAGAACAAAUGUGUAAGUAACUGUGCACAUCUUGACGGUACCUAACCAGAAAGCUACGGCUAACUACGUGCCAGCAGCCGCGGUAAUACGUAGGUGGCAAGCGUUAUCCGGAAUUAUUGGGCGUAAAGCGCGCGUAGGCGGUUUUUUAAGUCUGAUGUGAAAGCCCACGGCUCAACCGUGGAGGGUCAUUGGAAACUGGAAAACUUGAGUGCAGAAGAGGAAAGUGGAAUUCCAUGUGUAGCGGUGAAAUGCGCAGAGAUAUGGAGGAACACCAGUGGCGAAGGCGGCUUUCUGGUCUGCAACUGACGCUGAUGUGCGAAAGCGUGGGGAUCAAACAGGAUUAGAUACCCUGGUAGUCCACGCCGUAAACGAUGAGUGCUAAGUGUUAGGGGGUUUCCGCCCCUUAGUGCUGCAGCUAACGCAUUAAGCACUCCGCCUGGGGAGUACGGUCGCAAGACUGAAACUCAAAGGAAUUGACGGGGACCCGCACAAGCGGUGGAGCAUGUGGUUUAAUUCGAAGCAACGCGAAGAACCUUACCAAAUCUUGACAUCCUUUGACCGCUCUAGAGAUAGAGUUUUCCUCUUCGGAGGACAAAGUGACAGGUGGUGCAUGGUUGUCGUCAGCUCGUGUCGUGAGAUGUUGGGUUAAGUCCCGCAACGAGCGCAACCCUUGAACUUAGUUGCCAUCAUUCAGUUGGGCACUCUAAGUUGACUGCCGGUGACAAACCGGAGGAAGGUGGGGAUGACGUCAAAUCAUCAUGCCCUUAUGAUUUGGGCUACACACGUGCUACAAUGGACAAUACAAAGGGCAGCGAAACCGCGAGGUCAAGCAAAUCCCAUAAAGUUGUUCUCAGUUCGGAUUGUAGUCUGCAACUCGACUACAUGAAGCUGGAAUCGCUAGUAAUCGUAGAUCAGCAUGCUACGGUGAAUACGUUCCCGGGUCUUGUACACACCGCCCGUCACACCACGAGAGUUUGUAACACCCGAAGCCGGUGGAGUAACCAUUUUGGAGCUAGCCGUCGAAGGUGGGACAAAUGAUUGGGAGAUCGGAAGAGCGUCGUGGUAUCGAAGAGGCUGGAUCACCUCCUUUCU
rnacentral:rRNA from 1 species